UACAGAGGUCUCAAGCGUUGUUCGGAUUCAUUGGGCGUAAAGGGUGUGUAGGUGGCGCGCUAAGUCGGGUGUGAAAUUUCGGAGCUUAACUCCGAAACUGCAUUCGAUACUGGCGUGCUUGAGGACUGGAGAGGAGACUGGAAUUCAUGGUGUAGCAGUGAAAUGCGUAGAGAUCAUGAGGAAGACCAGUGGCGAAGGCGGGUCUCUGGACAGUUCCUGACACUGAGGCACGAAAGCUAGGGGAGCAAACAGG
rnacentral:rRNA from 1 species